rnacentral:lncRNA from 1 species
UUUUCUUCUGCUUGGCAUGUCCUUUGUAUUAAGAAUGCCUGGGUGUUGACUCAAGAUAAUCCCACAAAUAGUGGAUGGGAAGGCAAUGGGUAACUUCACAGCAUUUGUAGAGGCAUGUCUGAUGGUUUGAUCAAAUAUAAACUUGCCAAAAUCAUAGUUAACCCUUGUUCCAAUUGCAUGAAUGAUUCUUCCAAGACUAAUGGAGAUGGUAGAGAUAUGAUUAGUAGGCACCCAAU